rnacentral:lncRNA from 1 species
UAGUUAAAUUUUUGUGUUUUGGUCUGUUUUUCUCAUACUAUAUGCAAUAGGUCUACUAUAUUUGUUGUAUGGAAUGAUUGUUAAGUGUACAUGUCUAGCGGGCAGAUGUCAUGUGACCUUGACCUCAUUUUCAUGGUUCAGUGGUCAAAGUUAAGUUUUGAGUUUUGGUCUUUUUAUCUAAUGCUAUAUGCCAUAGGUCAACUAUAUUUGGUGUAUGGAAAUAUUUUAUGAUCUUUAUGUCAGUCGAGC